GUAGGUGUAUACGUCGGGUUAGAAAGCAGAAGAGGAGAGGAUGGCCAGGUUGCUGAUCUUCGUGCUUGGAGAUCGCUCGUAUGGAGCUGAUUCGACGUCACACAUGACGGGGAUUCUGUUUAUGCUGGGCUUGGUGGCAGCGACGAUAUCCAUCAUGGCAGUCGUCAUCUUCAACUGCGGCGACAGCAAUGAGCCGACGCCUAAUCGCAAGAACAACAUCGGGUACUACGGUGGCGGCGGCGGAUGCGGCGGCGGAUGUGGCGGCGGAGGCGGAUGUGGCGGCGGAGGCGGAGGCGGAGGAUGUGGCGGCGGAGGCGGAGGCGGAGGCGGAGGCUGUUGAUGUGGCGGUGGUUGCUGAGGCCAUCGUUGGCAGACCGCUACUUUGAACUCUUAGCAUCUAAAUAAGCACAAUGCCUAUCUCAUUGGUUCUUUUCUUGAUGCAAUAUAGCUCGUGUAAAUUACAAUUACAAGUGCUAUACAUGUCAUGCAGCCUUUUCUAUUUUCGUCGAUGCUCGUCGUAUACUACUCAUAAGUGACAGUGUUUAUUUCUUUCAAGAUUCAAAGACAACAUACACUACUUUGCUUCUUCGUUCUUAACCAGAUUCCCUCAUGUAGUAGAGUUCAAUCGAUGAAAGCCAAAGUAAUUACAGUUAGUGCUGUCUAUCAACGAAAGUAUUGCCUCCGUUUCUUAUAAGGAAAUGUCUCGUCAUUGAACCAAAAAUAACAGACAGAAGUUUCGCAAAACAAAGAAGUUUAUCAAUAUGUCAGUAUAAUCCUAUCGAGGUAUAAUAAGAAGAUAUCUCGAUGCUUGAAUGAGAGGAUUUCUCAGUAACAAGAACCAAGCAAUUAAGGGAGAUUGAUCAUGGUCAUCACAAUUGUUUUCCUUCCCUUGUGCUUAGGCUACAUCGAGUGAAUAUUUGGUCUCGAUGACAUUUAAUUUGAAAACUAUGUUUUUGGACUUUUUCUAUCGUAUUGUUGCAAUUGAACAGUAUAACUUGUAUCUCUAUUAUGCAUUAUGCAUCAGGAAGCUGCUUGGAAGUUACGAGAUUGACUUUAGUGCUAAUGUGAAAGGCUAGUCAUGUCUAUCUCUAUAUAUUCUGCCUAGAUUGGCCUAAUCCCAAAAAGAAGAAGAUGGUCAGGUUAUAGGUGGCUCUUGUGGAGGAUAAUACAAAUAUAUUAUUUUUAAUCAUAUAUAUAUAAUAUUAUUAUCUGCAUCAUAAUCAUUUAUAAAAUAUGAGAGACUUGUCAAUUUGUAGGCAAAAUAAAGGCUGAAAUAUCAAUAGAUUUAUGAAUAUAGGUAAAACAAACCAUACCUAUUGGAAAACAAUUGCUCAAUUAUCAGCAUCUUGUGGAUGAAGGGGGAGAAAGCUAAAACAUCAGCAACGUGUGGAUGGAAUGAAAGGGGAGAAAGCUAAAAUAGUUGCUGAAUUAUCAGCAACUUGUGCACGAAGGGAGAGAAAGCUAAAAUAUCAACGACAAAGCUAUAGGCGAGAGAAAGCUAAAAUAUAAGCGACUAAAUAUGUAGGUGUAUGUAGAGAAGAACUUGAGCUCUUGGUAAAUAAAUCUCUUCUUCAAAUAUUGGAGUAGUGCUAGAAUAAUUGAAUUGUCCUUAUGUGGCUCUACUUUUUAAAGAUUAAGAUGCAAACGGAAUUUUUGGCUUGUUAAUUGGAUCGAUUAUGGAUAUGUUAUUAUGAAUGGUUUGAGAUUGUGUUUGAAUUGAUUUCAAGCUCGAUCAAGCUUGGCCCGAAUAUGAAUAAAUUGAGUACUGCGAAAGCAUUAAUUUCAGCCUUAAAUUUAAGUUCGGCUUAUAUUUAGCUAAAUUCAUCAGGC
rnacentral:lncRNA from 1 species